rnacentral:rRNA from 2 species
UGAUGGCGAGUGGCGAACGGGUGAGUAACAUAUCGGAACGUGCCUAGUAAUGGGGAAUAACUAAUCGAAAGAUUAGCUAAUACCGCAUACGACCUACGGGUGAAAGCAGGGGAUCUUCGGACCUUGCGUUAUUAGAGCGGCCGAUAUCUGAUUAGGUAGUUGGUAGGGUAAAGGCCUACCAAGCCGACGAUCAGUAGCUGGUCUGAGAGGACGAUCAGCCACACUGGAACUGAGACACGGUCCAGACUCC